rnacentral:pre_miRNA from 14 species
UCAGUGGUACAAUACCUCGGUCUUUUCAGGUGCUCUAUAAAUUCACCUGGAAUCACCGAGGUUAAGUUUCACUGACC